GAUGAACGCUGGCGGCGUGCUUAACACAUGCAAGUCGAACGGGAAACCUUUUAUUGAAGCUUCGGCAGAUUUAAUUUGUUUCUAGUGGCGGACGGGUGAGUAACGCGUGGGUAACCUGCCCUAUACAGGGGGAUAACAACCAGAAAUGGUUGCUAAUACCGCAUAAGCGCACAGGACCGCAUGGUCUGGUGUGGAAAACUCCGGUGGUAUAGGAUGGACCCGCGUUGGAUUAGCCAGUUGGCAGGGUAACGGCCUACCAAAGCGACGAUCCAUAGCCGGCCUGAGAGGGUGAACGGCCACAUUGGGACUGAGACACGGCCCAGACUCCUACGGGAGGCAGCAGUGGGGAAUAUUGCACAAUGGGGGAAACCCUGAUGCAGCGACGCCGCGUGAAGGAAGAAGUAUCUCGGUAUGUAAACUUCUAUCAGCAGGGAAGAUAGUGACGG
rnacentral:rRNA from 1 species